GAUCAUGCUCAGGAUGAACGCUAGCUACAGGCUUAACACAUGCAAGUCGAGGGGAAACGACAUCGAAAGCUUGCUUUUGAUGGGCGUCGACCGGCGCACGGGUGAGUAACGCGUAUCCAACCUGCCCACCACUUGGGGAUAACCUUGCGAAAGUAAGACUAAUACCCAAUGAUAUCUCUAGAAGACAUCUGAAAGAGAUUAAAGAUUUAUCGGUGAUGGAUGGGGAUGCGU
rnacentral:rRNA from 1 species